AGUGGGAGCAGGGAGCAGCAUUGGAUACAAAGGAAGAAACUGAGAGAGGCAAGGGACAACAGGGUGCUGUCAGAGGAGAGAGUGACAGACUCACUGUUGCUGACACAAAUGUCAGGAAGGGAUGAGGAACACUGACUUGUCCUGCCACUCCCUCAGGUCUUGCCUUGCAGAGCAUAAAAAAGAGGGGGGGAAAAAGCUUGAUAAUCAGCCUGAAAAGACCUAUUGAAAAAAUUAUGCAGCAUUUAGCUCGAUGUCUAGCAGAGAGGAAAGCUCAGAGCCUCAGGUAAUCCUGCAAACCUCCUGCAGGAAAAGUGUGACAGGAGAGAGACCUCCAUGGCCACCUACUCUUUUGGAACUAGAGCCACAGCAAGUUGGCAGCAUUCCAGCCUAGACUUUUUGCAAUUUAUUCCUGGGAUAAGGAAGAACAAAUAAAAGCUGUUUGUCUGCUG